UAUGAUCCAGAGUACCACGGGACACGUGAAACCCUGUGGGAAGCAGGAGGGACCACCCUCCAAGGCUAAAUACUACCUAGUGACCGAUAGCGUAUAGUACCGUGAGGGAAAGGUGAAAAGAACCCCGGGAGGGGAGUGAAAUAGAACCUGAAACCCUGCACUUACAAGCUGUGGAAGCACAUUUCUUGUGUGACCGCGUACUUUUUGUAGAACGGGCCAACGAGUUACGUUAAGUAGCAAGGUUAAGCACUUAAGGUGUGGAGCCGUAGCGAAAGCGAGUUUUAACUGAGCGUUCAGUUACUUGACGUAGACCCGAAACCGGGCGACCUACCCAUGAGCAGGAUGAAGCGAAAGUAAAAUUUCGUGGAGGUCCGAACCCACGAGCGUUGAAAAGCUCGGGGAUGACUUGUGGGUAGCGGUGAAAUUCCAAUCGAGCCCGGAGAUAGCUGGUUCUCCCCGAAAUAGCUUUAGGGCUAGCCUCAAGGUGAGAGAUACGGAGGUAGAGCACUGAAUGUCCUAGGGGGUAUUGCACCUACCGAAGACUAUCAAACUCCGAAUGCCGUCAUCUUAUACUUGGGAGUCAGACUGUGGGUGAUAAGAUUCAUAGUCGAAAGGGCAACAGCCCAGAUCGUCAGCUAAGGUCCCUAAAUGUAAGUUAAGUGGUAAAGGAUGUGGGAUUGCACAGACAACCAGGAUGUUGGCUUAGAAGCAGCCACUCAUUCAAAGAGUGCGUAAUAGCUCACUGGUCGAGUGAUCCUGCGCCGAAGAUUUCCGGGGCUAAAACUUACUACCGAAGCUACGGCAUCAGUAAUGAUGGGUAGGGGAGCUUCCCAUACGGGUUGAAGCAUGACCGUAAGGACAUGUGGACAGUAUGGGAGUGAGAAUGUUGGCAUGAGUAGCGAGAUGUGGGUGAGAAUCCCACAGGCCGUAAACCCAAGGUUUCCAGGGGAAGGUUCGUCCGCCCUGGGUUAGUCGGGACCUAAGCUGAGGCCGAAAGGCGUAGGUGAUGGACAACAGGUUGAUAUUCCUGUACUACCGAUAACCGUUUGAGAGAAGGGAUGACACAGUAGGAUAAGCUAAGCACACUGUUGGUUAUGUGUGCCCAAGCAUUGAGGCAGUCAAAGUAGGCAAAUCCGCUUUGAUAAUGCUGGGAUGUGAUGGGGAGCGAAAUUUAGUAGCGAAGUAGCUGAUUUCACACUGUCAAGAAAAGUCUCUAUCGAGGUUAAAGGUACCCGUACCGCAAACCGACACAGGUGGGUGAGGAGAGUAUCCUAAGGCCAGCGAGAGAACUGUUGUUAAGGAACUCGGCAAAAUGACCCCGUAACUUAGGGAUAAGGGGUGCCACCAUCAGGUGGCCGCAGAGAAUAGGCCCAAGCGACUGUUUACCAAAAACAUAGGUUUCUGCUAAGUCGCAAGACGAUGUAUAGGAGCUGACGCCUGCCCGGUGCUGGAAGGUUAAGGGGAUCUGUUAGAGCAAUCGAAGCAGUGAACUUAAGCCCCAGUAAACGGCGGCCGUAACUAUAACGGUCCUAAGGUAGCGAAAUUCCUUGUCGGGUAAGUUCCGACCCGCACGAAAGGCGUAACGAUUUGGGCACUGUCUCAACAACAGACUCGGUGAAAUUGUAAUUCCGGUGAAGAUGCCGGAUACCUGCGACAGGACGGAAAGACCCCAUGGAGCUUUACUGUAGCUUGACAUUGGGU
rnacentral:rRNA from 1 species